rnacentral:rRNA from 1 species
GAUAAACGCUGGCGGCGUGCUUCAGGCAUGCAAGUCGAACGGGUGUCUACCUUCGGGUAGCCACUAGUGGCGGACGGGUGAGUAACGCGUUAGCAACCUGCCCAAAGGUGGGGAAUAACUAACCGAAAGGUUAGCUAAUACCGCAUGUGAUAGCUGGUUCUUGGACUGGUUAUGAAAGGCUUCGGUCGCCUUUGGAGGGGCUUGCGUCAGAUUAGCUUGUUGGUGGGGUAAUGGCCUACCAAAGCGACGAUCUGUAGCUGGUCUGAGAGGAUGGUCAGCCACACGGGGACUGAGAUACGGCCCCGACUCCUACGGGAGGCAGCAGCUAGGAAUCUUGGGAAUGGGCGAAAGCCUGACCCAGCAACGCCGCGUGGG